AGCAGCCGCGGUAAUUCCAGCUCCAAUAGCGUAUAUUAAAGUUGUUGCAGUUAAAAAGCUCGUAGUUGAAUUUCGGGAUCAAUAUAUCGGUCGUGCCUUGGUACGUACUGGUAUCAUUGGUUUCUCCUUUCUGACGAACCAUGAUGUCAUUAAUUUGGUGUUAUGGGAAGUUAGGACUGUUACUUUGAAAAAAUUAGAGUGUUUAAAGCAGGCUUUAGCUUGAAUACAUUAGCAUGGAAUAAUGAAAUAGGACGUUCGAACCUAUUUUGUUGGUUUCUAGGAUCAACGUAAUGAUUAAUAGGGAUAGUUGGGGGCAUUAGUAUUCAAUUGUCAGAGGUGAAAUUCUUGGAUUUAUUGAAGACUAACUACUGCGAAAGCAUUUGCCAAGGAUGUUUUCAUUAAUCAAGAACGAAAGUUAGGGGAUCGAAGACGAUCAGAUACCGGUCGUAGUCUUAACCAUAAACUAUGCCGACUAGGGAUCGGAUGAUGUUAAUUUUUAAUGUACUCAUUCGGCGCCUUA
rnacentral:rRNA from 1 species